GGGAAUAUUGCACAAUGGGGGAAACCCUGAUGCAGCGACGCCGCGUGAGUGAAGAAGCGCCUCGGCGCGUAAAGCUCUGUCAGCAGGAACGACGAUGACGGUACCUGAAGAAGAAGCCCCGGCUAACUACGUGCCAGCAGCCGCGGUAAUACGUAGGGGGCAAGCGUUAUCCGGAUUUACUGGGUGUAAAGGGAGCGUAGACGGUGAUGCAAGUCAGAAGUGAAAGCCCGGGGCUCAACUCCGGGACUGCUUUUGAAACUGUGUGACUGGAGUGCAGGAGAGGUAAGCGGAAUUCCUGGUGUAGCGGUGAAAUGCGUAGAUAUCAGGAGGAACACCAGUGGCGAAGGCGGCUUACUGGACUGUAACUGACGUUGAGGCUCGAAAGCGUGGGGAGCAAACAGG
rnacentral:rRNA from 1 species